UACGGAGGGGACUAGCGUUGUUCGGAAUUACUGGGCGUAAAGCGCACGUAGGCGGAUUUGUAAGUCAGGGGUGAAAUCCCGGGGCUCAACCUCGGAACUGCCUUUGAUACUGCAAAUCUCGAGUCCGGAAGAGGUGAGUGGAAUUCCUAGUGUAGAGGUGAGAUUCGUAGAUAUUAGGAAGAACACCAGUGGCGAAGGCGGCUCACUGGUCCGGUACUGACGCUGAGGUGCGAAAGCGUGGGGAGCAAACAGG
rnacentral:rRNA from 1 species